rnacentral:rRNA from 1 species
AGGCGACGACGGGUAGCCGGCCUGAGAGGGCGACCGGCCACACUGGGACUGAGACACGGCCCAGACUCCUACGGGAGGCAGCAGUAGGGAAUAUUGGGCAAUGGGCGAAAGCCUGACCCAGCGACGCCGCGUGAGGGAUGAAGGUCUUCGGAUUGUAAACCUCUUUCAGUAGGGAAGAAGCGAAAGUGACGGUACCUAAAGAAGAAGCACCGGCUAACUAUGUGCCAGCAGCCGCGGUAAUACAUAGGGUGCAAGCGUUGUCCGGAAUUAUUGGGCGUAAAGAGCUCGUAGGUCGUUUGUCGCGUCGAUUGUGAAAAUCUGAGGCUCAACCUCAGACCUGCAGUCGAUACGGGCAAACUAGAGUGUGGUAGGGGAGACUGGAAUUCCU